rnacentral:rRNA from 1 species
GGGUCAGUAGGUUGGUCGUGCCACCGGUACGUACUGGUCUCACUGAUUCCUCCCUCCUGAAGAACCGUAAUGCCAUUAAUUUGGUGUUGCGGGGAAACAGGACUGUUACUUUGAAAAAAUUAGAGUGUUUAAAGCAAGCUAACGCUUGAAUACAUUAGCAUGGAAUAAUGAAAUAGGACGAUCGAUCCUAUUUUGUUGGUUUCUAGGAUUGACGUG